AAAUGAAUAGACGGGGGCCCGCACAAGCGGAGGAACAUGUGGUUUAAUUCGAUGAUACGCGAGGAACCUUACCCGGGCUUGAAAUGGAGUGGAAUGGUGUAGAAAUAUAUCAGUCAGUAAUGACCGCUUUGUAGGUGCUGCAUGGUUGUCGUCAGCUCGUGCCGUGAGGUGUCGGCUUAAGUGCCAUAACGAGCGCAACCCUUAUCGAUAGUUACCAUCGGGUUAAGCCGGGGACUCUAUUGAGACUGCCACCGUAAGGUGUGAGGAAGGUGGGGAUGACGUCAAAUCAGCACGGCCCUUACGUCCGGGGCGACACACGUGUUACAAUGGGGGGUACAGAGGGUUGCUACCAUGUGAAUGGAUGCUAAUCUCAAAAAACCUUUCUCAGUUCGGAUCGGAGUCUGCAACUCGACUUCGUGAAGUUGGAUUCGCUAGUAAUCGCGCAUCAGCCAUGGCGCGGUGAAUACGUUCCCGGGCCUUGUACACACCGCCCGU
rnacentral:rRNA from 1 species